UACGUAGGGUGCGAGCGUUUAAUCGGAAUUACUGGGCGUAAAGCGUGCGCAGGCGGUUCGCCAAGUCAGGUGUGAAAUCCCCGGGCUUAACCUGGGAAUUGCGCUUGAAACUAGCGGGCUUGAGUGUGGCAGAGGGGGGUGGAAGUUCCACGGUGUAGCAGUGAAAUGCGUAGAGAUGUGGAGGAACACCGAUGGCGAAGGCAGCCCCUGGGUCAACACUGACGCUCAUGCACGAAAGCGUGGGGAGCAAACAGG
rnacentral:rRNA from 1 species